GUGGGGAAUAUUGGACAAUGGGCGAAAGCCUGAUCCAGCCAUGCCGCGUGUGUGAAGAAGGUCUUCGGAUUGUAAAGCACUUUAAGUUGGGAGGAAGGGCAGUAAGUUAAUACCUUGCUGUUUUGACGUUACCGACAGAAUAAGCACCGGCUAACUUCGUGCCAGCAGCCGCGGUAAUACGAAGGGUGCAAGCGUUAAUCGGAAUUACUGGGCGUAAAGCGCGCGUAGGUGGUUUUGUAAGUUGGAGGUGAAAUCCCCGGGCUCAACCUGGGAAGUGACUCCAAAACGGCAUGACUAGAGUACGGUAGGGGGUAGUGGAAUUGCCUGUGUAGCGGUGAAAUGCGUAGAUAUAGGAAGGAACACCAGUGGCGAAGGCGACUACCUGGACUGAUACUGACACUGAGGUGCGAAAGCGUGGGGAGCAAACAGGAUUAGAUACCCCGGUAGUCC
rnacentral:rRNA from 1 species